UUACUGAACAACACGUUGGGAUAUAGUUCAAAAAUCAUUCAAUUCAGUCAAGAUAGAAAUUGUUUUAGCGUUCACUUACGUGGUUAAGGAACAUUACAGAUACUUGGUGGGUCAUAUAUCAUGUAUAAGAUUAACUUUACCGUCGACAUGGGUGUCCAGAAAAAGUCGCAUUUGUGCAUAAAUACAGGGAAUUUAUAUGCUAUAAGUAAUUGCAAUGCAGCACGUACGCCACGUUUGUAUGGAGAGUUCAAUCACAUAUUUGGAGACAACGAAAAAAAAACUCAAUAUGUGUGACCACACCAUACAUAAGGUAUGUUUUCCAUACCUUAUGUAGACAACGGUAGACACAUUGUUGGUUAUGAGUUCAAUUCAAAGGUGUAAAAUCUGGAUUAUUGUUAAUGACAAGAAUUUUAGUACCUACGUGUAUUCAACAAUGUACGUUGUCUGAUUUACGAUUCUGAACCUAACAACAUAAAAAGUGUUUUACUAAACGCACAUUUUCUACGAUGUAAGUUAGUAAGAAGGAACAACACAGCUGGUAUGACGUCUUCUUAGGGGUGAUAUUCAGUGUUUGAAAGAAAACUAUGGACAGUUCCAGGUAUGUACUCUUUAUUGUGGUGAUCAAAUGAAUUAACUUUUACCACAAACUGAAAAAGCUAUAGUUGAAGCUGCUUUGUUAAUGAGUAACGAAAUCCAAUCUAGUCAUACCAAGAAUUGGGGGCCUUAUCAUUGCUACCCAAGACUAUCACAUGAACAUUUUUAUUAACACAUAAAAAUUAAUUUCAGAGCGAUUCUAGUAUAGUUUGAUUGGUUAAUUUAUAUCUGGUGAUAUCUGGUGACCAAUAUUGAUUAAGAUUACUGCAUCCUGCUUUUAAAAAGCCUCAACUAUUUUGGUCUGGAAAACAUAUGAAUUAUAACUAUGAGAUCAAGUCAAAUUUCCAAUGAUGGCAAAUUUGUGGCGUAAAUGAAAAUUGUAUAUAUACUCAUUAUGAAAUUGCUUUAUGGAUUCUCACAAGUCAAACAAAUAUAAUUGAAAAUGUGUAGAUUUAUUAUUUUUUUUAUUUAUAGAUGUUUGCUUAAGACAUUUUAAGUUGUUGGCUAUGGACAAGUAAUGAUUAAGUUUAGAUGGUCAAUCAAAUAUAUUUUAUGUGGUGUUGGCCAAUUCUGGGUUCUAAUGUUGCAAAGUAAUGUAGCGAAAACACAUUUUAUAUCCUACUUUUUAACAUUAUGAUAAUUUUAAAUUACUAUUAAUAAUAAUACGCCUAACUAUGAUUUACUCCAAUCUAGAUAUAAAUUAGUUUAAAAUAGAAUAGGAAUUAUAUAGGUAAUUAUUUGUUUUACUGUUAAUCAUUUUAUUAUUUUUCUAAAUAAUUAUUUAAUUAAUAAACAUAUUAUAUCUAAUUUGUAAAACAAAAAUGCAAUAUGUAAAAAUAAUUUCUACUUAAGAAAUGUAAAAGAAUUGACUGUAUCAACUUGAUUGCAAUAUAAACAAAACAUAAGAGUUGAAUAUUUUAAAACAAUUACAUUCAACAUUUUGUUAGUAAAGCUUGUUAAUUAAAGGAUCAUUUAAAAAUAGUAUGUAAAUCAUGGCAUUAUAAAUCAUCACACUGUAAUGAGUUAAAAAUAUAGUACAGUAAAACCUCGAUAAGACAGAAUCGCUUGGGACUAUGCAAUUUUUCCGUGUUAACAGGGUUUCCGUUUUACCGAAGUUUCAUCUUAUCGAAGUUUCGUCUUAUCGAGGUUUUACUGUAUAAUGUUCUAAUUUAAUAUUAGUAUAUAAAAAUUAAUAUAUAGUAUUUAGAUUGAUAUUCUUAGCUCAUUACUUUAUAUACAUAUUUAUUAACGUGUAAACUUAAUUCGGGGUGUGAAUAAGAGAGUUUUCAUGUAAAAAAUGUGUAUUUAUGACUAUACGUAGAGUAUAUGUUAAAUAUAGAUAUAUUACUUUAACUCUAGCAAAUCUUGUUGUUUAAACUGAUCCUCUUGAGUUUUGAAUGUAUUAGGAAUUGAUGAAAUACAAAAGUGAAUUAUGAACAAUA